AGCAGCCGCGGUAAUUCCAGCUCCAAUAGCGUAUAUUAAAGUUGUUGCAGUUAAAAAGCUCGUAGUUGAACUUCAGGCCUGGCUGGAUGGUCCGCCUUCUGGGUGAGUACUGUCUGUGGUCGGGUCCUACCUUCUGGCGAAGCGUCAUGGCCUUCACCGGCCGUGGCGGGGAGCCAGGACUUUUACUGUGAAAAAUUAGAGUGUUCAAAGCAGGCACGCGCUUGAAUACAUUAGCAUGGAAUAAUGGAAUAGGACAGUGGUUCUAUUUGUUGGUUUCUAGGACCGUUGUAAUGAUUAAUAGGGAUAGUUGGGGGCAUUAGUAUUCAAUUGUCAGAGGUGAAAUUCUUGGAUUUAUUGAAGACUAACUACUGCGAAAGCAUUUGCCAAGGAUGUUUUCAUUAAUCAAGAACGAAAGUUAGGGGAUCGAAGACGAUCAGAUACCGUCGUAGUCUUAACCAUAAACUAUGCCGACUAGGAAUCGGGCGAUGUUGACAAAAUGACGCGCUC
rnacentral:rRNA from 1 species